rnacentral:rRNA from 1 species
ACUCCUACGGGAGGCAGCAGUGGGGAAUCUUGCGCAAUGGGCGAAAGCCUGACGCAGCGACGCCGCGUGAGUGAUGAAGGCCUUCGGGUUGUAAAGCUCUGUGGAGGGGGACGGAAUAAGGGCUGGCUAACAUCCAGCUUGAUGACGGUACCUCUUUAGCAAGCACCGGCUAACUCUGUGCCAGCAGCCGCGGUAAU